rnacentral:rRNA from 1 species
AUUGAACGCUGGCGGCAGGCUUAACACAUGCAAGUCGAGCGGGGAAAGGUAGCUUGCUACUGGACCUAGCGGCGGACGGGUGAGUAAUGCUUAGGAAUCUGCCUAUUAGUGGGGGACAACGUUCCGAAAGGAACGCUAAUACCGCAUACGUCCUACGGGAGAAAGCAGGGGAUCUUCGGACCUUGCGCUAAUAGAUGAGCCUAAGUCGGAUUAGCUAGUUGGUGGGGUAAAGGCCUACCAAGGCGACGAUCUGUAGCGGGUCUGAGAGGAUGAUCCGCCACACUGGGACUGAGACACGGCCCAGACUCCUACGGGAGGCGGCAGUGGGGAAGAUUGGACCAUGGGCGCAAGCCUGAUCCAGCCAUGCCGCGUGUGUGAAGAAGGCCUUUUGGUUGUAAAGCACUUUAAGCGAGGAGGAGGCUCCUAUAGUUAAUACCUAAAGUGAGUGGACGUUACUCGCAGAAUAAGCACCGGCUAACUCUGUGCCAGCCGCCGCGGUAA